GCCCCUGAUAGCGACAAGCACUGAAUGGUACUGCUUUACCUUCUAUAUAAGCUUCUUUGRGCGAACUAUACGUUAAAAGGAAUCAAACAAGACUUUCAUUGUAUGCGCAUUAUUCUCUACAGACUGACUACAUUCGAAUUCUGCGGUUAUUAUUGCCCCACAGUCCGGCUCUUCCGAUUCUCCUUUUGAAUCCCUUGUAGGAAAAUGAAUUGCAGGGAACAGGGAUUCAGCCGUAUUCUCCCGGUUUAAGGAAAGUUAGUGAGGAGCAAUCGAGUGUUGGUCAUAAAGAGGAGUCCCUGAUCAAGUGAAGAAUUUGGCAGAACAGAAAAAUUAACGACUUGCUACAGAAGCAGUUCGCGUAUGGAAAAUCAAAUACGACUGAAAAAACGGAAUUGAGUAACACUCAACGGCUUUUCCUGGAAAUUCCAUACCUACGAUCUGAAAACCCCAGACAAUUGAAAUUGACCCUCUUUGGUAAUGAUCCCGUAAAAAAAAUGUGAGAUGUUCAGAGGAAGUUGCUUCUGUGAAAUUUCCAAACCGUACUUUCCCAAGCUAGUGAAAAGUGAGCUGCUUUGUCAAUUAAUUAAAAAUAUUUUACUUGGUUAAAGGC